GACAGAGGGUGCUAGCGUUGUUCGGAAUUACUGGGCGUAAAGGGUGCGUAGGCGGCGCGGUAAGUCGGGUGUGAAAUCUCGGAGCUUAACUCCGAAACUGCAUUCGAUACUGCCGUGCUUGAGGACUGGAGAGGAGACUGGAAUUUACGGUGUAGCGGUGAAAUGCGUAGAUAUCGUAAGGAAGACCAGUGGCGAAGGCGGGUCUCUGGACAGUUCCUGACGCUGAGGCACGAAGGCCAGGGGAGCAAACGGG
rnacentral:rRNA from 1 species